rnacentral:rRNA from 1 species
UACAGAGGUCUCAAGCGUCGUUCGGAUUCAUUGGGCGUAAAGGGUGCGUAGGUGGCAUGGUAAGUCGGAUGUGAAAUCCCGGGGCUCAACCCCGGAACUGCAUUCGAUACUGCUGCGCUAGAGUACUGGAGAGGAGAUUGGAAUUUACGGUGUAGCAGUGAAAUGCGUAGAUAUCGUAAGGAAGACCAGUGGCGAAGGCGGAUCUCUGGACAGUUACUGACACUGAGGCACGAAGGCCAGGGGAGCAAACGGG